rnacentral:rRNA from 1 species
GACGAGCGCUGGCGGCGUGCUUAACACAUGCAAGUCGAACGGAAAGGCCCUGCUUUUGUGGGGUGCUCGAGUGGCGAAAGGGUGAGUAACACGUGAGUAACCUGCCCUUGACUUUGGGAUAACUUCAGGAAACUGGGGCUAAUACCGGAUAGGAGCUCCUGCUGCAUGGUGGGGGUUGGAAAGUUUCGGCGGUUGGGGAUGGACUCGCGGCUUAUCAGCUUGUUGGUGGGGUAGUGGCUUACCAAGGCUUUGACGGGUAGCCGGCCUGAGAGGGUGACCGGCCACAUUGGGACUGAGGUACGGCCCAGACUCCUACGGGAGGCAGCAGUGGGGAAUAUUGCACAAUGGGCGGAAGCCUGAUGCAGCAACUCCGCGUGCGGGAUGACGGCCUUCGGGUUGUAAACCGCUUUCGCCUGUGACGAAGCGUGAGUGACGGUAAUGGGUAAAGAAGCACCGGCUAACUACGUG